CAUGAAGAUGAGACAGACAAAGUCAAAAAGGAUCAAGGACUAGCAGAGGAAAAAGCGAAUGGCCCCAGUGGAUGGGCACCACUGAGUUGCUCUUUGGUACCAACGUUGUUGGCCAGAUGAUGGAAAUGAGGAGAGACCAUUUCAUGCAGGAGAGAGACAGCUCGUGAAGAUGCCAAGAUUCAGAAUAUGGAGCAAGUAAUGAGGUCAAUCUCACUGGAUGUAUAUGGAUUGAAGAUACUAAACAGAUCGAGUUGGAGAGGACUUCAAGUAAAUUCCUAUGCCAACCUGCUGCAUAUGCUGUAUUUUUGUGGGGUAGGCUCCUUGAAUAAAAAUAUGGUGUUCACAAAAUCUGACAUUUUCUGAUGCUCUCAAUUUAUGUCAUUUUCUUUUUAAACCUCUGACUCUUUCAGGAUCAGUUGGUUUAAGGUGCAAGAUAUACUGCCUGCCUUUUUGUUAUGGAAGGGAAUCAAACUUGUUCAGAUUAAUAUAGUUGUGAGUUAAACAAUAAACAUCAUAAAUUGACAAUUUGCUUGAAUUUCAAUUUUGGCUUUCUG